AGUAACGCGUGGGAACGUACCCUUCACUACGGAAUAGUCCCGGGAAACUGGGUUUAAUACCGUAUACGCCCUUCGGGGGAAAGAAUUUCGGUGAGGGAUCGGCCCGCGUUAGAUUAGUUAGUUGGUGGGGUAAUGGCCUACCAAGACUACGAUCUAUAGCUGGUUUGAGAGGAUGAUCAGCAACACUGGGACUGAGACACGGCCCAGACUCCUACGGGAGGCAGCAGUGGGGAAUCUUAGACAAUGGGGGCAACCCUGAUCUAGCGAUGCCGCGUGAGUGAUGAAGGCCUUAGGGUCGUAAAGCUCUUUCGCCUGUGAUGAUAAUGACAGUAGCAGGUAAAGAAACCCCGGCUAACUCCGUGCCAGCAGCCGCGGUAAUACGGAGGGGGUUAGCGUUGUUCGGAAUUACUGGGCGUAAAGCGCACGUAGGCGGAUUAGUCAGUCAGAGGUGAAAUCCCAGGGCUCAACCCUGGAACUGCCUUUGAUACUGCUAGUCUUGAGUUCGAGAGAGGUAAGUGGAAUUCCGAGUGUAGAGGUGAAAUUCGUAGAUAUUCGGAGGAACACCAGUGGCGAAGGCGGCUUACUGGCUCGAUACUGACGCUGAGGUGCGAAAGUGU
rnacentral:rRNA from 1 species